rnacentral:rRNA from 1 species
GNGAGGAUAUUGGUCAAUGGGCGAGNCCUGACCAGCCUGCCGCGUGCAGGAUGACGGCCCUAUGGGUUGUAAACUGCUUUUCUGCGGGAAGAAAAGCGAGGAUUCGCUCUUUGCUUGACGGUACUGCAGGAAUAAGCAUCGGCUAACUCCGUGCCAGCAGCCGCGGUAAUACGGAGGAUGCAAGCGUUAUCCGGAUUCAUUGGGUUUAAAGGGUGCGCAGGCGGGGUGAUAAGUCAGUGGUGAAAGCCCGGAGCUUAACUCCGGGAUUGCCAUUGAAACUGUCACUCUUGAGUGCAGUCGGAGGCGGCGGAAUGAGUUAUGUAGCGGUGAAAUGCAUAGAUAUAACUCAGAACACCGAUCGCGAAGGCAGCUGCCUAGACUGCUACUGACGCUGAGGCACGAAAGCGUGGGGAGCAAACAGGAUUAGAUACCCUGGUAGUCCACGCUGUAAACGAUGAACACUCGCUGUUGGCGAUAUACAGUCAGCGGCUGAGCGAAAGCAUUAAGUGAUCCACCUGGGGAGUACGUCGGCAACGAUGAAACUCAAAGGAAUUGACGGGGGCCCGCACAAGCGGAGGAACAUGUGGUUUAAUUCGAUGAUACGCGAGGAACCUUACCUGGGCUUAAAUGUAGGGUGCAUGGAGGGGAACCUUCCUUACCUUCGGGACUNCCUACAAGGUGCUGCAUGGUUGNCGCAGCUCGUGCCGGAGGNGUCGGGUUAAGUCCCAUAACGAGCGCAACCCCUAUCGNUAGUUGCCAUAG